rnacentral:rRNA from 1 species
UCCGAUGUUGAAAGACGGCUUCUCCCUGUCAUUACAGGAGGGGCCCGCGGCCCAUUAUCUAUUUGGUGAGGUAACGGCUCACCAGGGCAACAAUGCGUACCCGACCUGAGAGGGUGAUCGGCCACUCGGGGACUGAGACACGGCCCAAACUCCUACGGGAGGCAGCAUUGGGGAAUCUUCCACAAUGGACAAAAGUCUGAUGGACCAACCCCCCGUGAGUGAAAAAGGUUCUCGGAUCGUAAAACUCUUUUGUGAGGAAAAAACAAGUACCGGAGUAACUGCCGGUACCUUGACGGUACCUCAUUAAAAAGCCACGGCUAACUACGUGCCAGCACCCGCGGUAAUACGUAGGUGGCAAGCUUUGUCCGGAUUCAUUGGGCGUAAAGCGCGCGCAGGCGGUCCCUUAAUUCUGAUGUGAAAGCCCACGGCUCACCCGGGGGAGGGUCAUUGGGAAACUGGGGAGACUUGAGUGCAAAAGAGGAGAGGGGAAUUCCCAUGUGUAGCGGGUGAAAUGCGUAAAGAUUUGAGAGAAACCCCAGUGGCAAAAGGCGGGCUUUUCUGGUCUGUAACUGAACGCUAAAGGCGCGAAACGCGUGGGGGAGCACACAGGAUUACAUACCCUGGUGUAUUCCCCCCCCGUAAACCAUAAUUGCUAAUUGUUUAUGGGGGUUUCCCCCCCCUUAUUGCUGCAGCUAACGCCAUUAAACAC